GGGUGAGUAACGCGUAGGCAACCUGCCUCAUAGCGGGGGAUAACUAUUGGAAACGAUAGCUAAUACCGCAUAAGAGUGAUUAACACAUGUUAGUUAUUUAAAAGGAGCAAUUGCUUCACUGUGAGAUGGACCUGCGUUGUAUUAGCUAGUUGGUGAGGUAAAGGCUCACCAAGGCGACGAUACAUAGCCGACCUGAGAGGGUGAUCGGCCACACUGGGACUGAGACACGGCCCGGACUCCUACGGGAGGCAGCAGUAGGGAAUCUUCGGCAAUGGACGGAAGUCUGACCGAGCAACGCCGCGUGAGUGAAGAAGGUUUUCGGAUCGUAAAGCUCUGUUGUUAGAGAAGAACGUUGGUAGGAGUGGAAAAUCUACCAAGUGACGGUAACUAACCAGAAAGGGACGGCUAACUACGUGCCAGCAGCCGCGGUAAUACGUAGGUCCCGAGCGUUGUCCGGAUUUAUUGGGCGUAAAGCGAGCGCAGGCGGUUCUUUAAGUCUGAAGUUAAAGGCAGUGGCUUAACCAUUGUACGCUUUGGAAACUGGAGGACUUGAGUGCAGAAGGGGAGAGUGGAAUUCCAUGUGUAGCGGUGAAAUGCGUAGAUAUAUGGAGGAACACCGGUGGCGAAAGCGGCUCUCUGGUCUGUAACUGACGCUGAGGCUCGAAAGCGUGGGGAGCAAACAGGAUUAGAUACCCUGGUAGUCCACGCCGUAAACGAUGAGUGCUAGGUGUUAGGCCCUUUCCGGGGCUUAGUCCGCAGCUAACGCAUUAAGCACUCCGCCUGGGGAUACGACCGCA
rnacentral:rRNA from 1 species